AUUGAACGCUGGCGGCAUGCCUUACACAUGCAAGUCGAACGGCAGCACGGGAGCAAUCCUGGUGGCGAGUGGCGAACGGGUGAGUAAUAUAUCGGAACGUGCCCAGUCGUGGGGGAUAACGUAGCGAAAGCUACGCUAAUACCGCAUACGAUCUACGGAUGAAAGCGGGGAUCGCAAGACCUCGCGCGAUUGGAGCGGCCGAUAUCAGAUUAGGUAGUUGGUGAGGUAAAGGCUCACCAAGCCGACGAUCUGUAGCUGGUCUGAGAGGACGACCAGCCACACUGGGACUGAGACACGGCCCAGACUCCUACGGGAGGCAGCAGUGGGGAAUUUUGGACAAUGGGCGCAAGCCUGAUCCAGCAAUGCCGCGUGCAGGAUGAAGGCCUUCGGGUUGUAAACUGCUUUGUACGGAACGAAACGGUGAGCUCUAAUACAGUUUGCUAAUGACGGUACCGUAAGAAUAAGCACCGGCUAACUACGUG
rnacentral:rRNA from 1 species